GACGAACGCUGGCGGCGUGCUUAACACAUGCAAGUCGAACGGAAAGGCCCUGCUUUUGUGGGGUGCUCGAGUGGCGAACGGGUGAGUAACACGUGAGUAACCUGCUCUUGACUUUGGGAUAACUUCAGGAAACUGGGGCUAAUACCGGAUAGGAGCUCCUGCUGCAUGGUGGGGGUUGGAAAGUUUCGGCGGUUGGGGAUGGACUCGCGGCUUAUCAGCUUGUUGGUGGGGUAGUGGCUUACCAAGGCUUUGACGGGUAGCCGGCCUGAGAGGGUGACCGGCCACAUUGGGACUGAGAUACGGCCCAGACUCCUACGGGAGGCAGCAGUGGGGAAUAUUGCACAAUGGGCGGAAGCCUGAUGCAGCAACGCCGCGUGCGGGAUGACGGCCUUCGGGUUGUAAACCGCUUUCGCCUGUGACGAAGCGCGAGUGACGGUAAUGGGUAAAGAAGCACCGGCUAACUACGUG
rnacentral:rRNA from 1 species